AGAGUUUGAUCAUGGCUCAGGACGAACGCUGGCGGCGCGCUUAACACAUGCAAGUCGAGCGAGAACCAUUCCUUCGGGAAUGGGGACAGCGGCGAACGGGUGAGUAACACGUGGGUAAUCUGCCCUCGAUUCUGGGAUAGCCCGGGGAAACCCGGAUUAAUACCGGAUAGCCUCUCGAGCUUACGAGCUCGUGAGAAAAGGUAGCUUCGGCCUCCGAUCGAGGAUGAGCCCGCGGCGGAUUAGCUUGUUGGUGGGGUAAUGGCCUACCAAGGCGACGAUCCGUAGCUGGUCUGAGAGGACGAUCAGCCACACUGGGACUGAGACACGGCCCAGACUCCUACGGGAGGCAGCAGUGGGGAAUCUUGCGCAAUGGGCGAAAGCCUGACGCAGCGACGCCGCGUGGGGGAAGAAGGCCUUCGGGUUGUAAACCUCUUUCAGCAGGGACGAAGCCACUCGGGUGAAUAGCCCAGAGGGUGACGGUACCUGCAGAAGAAGCCCCGGCUAACUACGUGCCAGCAGCGGCGGUAAUUC
rnacentral:rRNA from 1 species